rnacentral:rRNA from 1 species
AAAGGAAUAGACGGGGGCCCGCACAAGCAGUGGAGUAUGUGGUUUAAUUCGAAGCAACGCGAAGAACCUUACCAGGUCUUGACAUCCAACUAACGAAGUAGAGAUACAUUAGGUGCCCUUCGGGGAAAGUUGAGACAGGUGGUGCAUGGUUGUCGUCAGCUCGUGUCGUGAGAUGUUGGGUUAAGUCCCGCAACGAGCGCAACCCUUGUCACUAGUUGCUACGCAAGAGCACUCUAGUGAGACUGCCGUUGACAAAACGGAGGAAGGUGGGGACGACGUCAAAUCAUCAUGCCCCUUAUGACCUGGGCUACACACGUACUACAAUGGUCGUUAACAGAGGGAAGCAAUACCGCGAGGUGGAGCAAACCCCUAAAAACGAUCCCAGUUCAGAUUGUAGGCUGCAACUCGCCUAUAUGAAGUUGGAAUUGCUAGUAAUCGCGGAUCAGCAUGCCGCGGUGAAUACGUUCCCGGGCCUUGUACACACCGCCCGU